rnacentral:rRNA from 1 species
GAUGAACGCUGGCGGCGUGCCUAAUACAUGCAAGUCGAGCGAACAGACGAGGAGCUUGCUCCUCUGACGUUAGCGGCGGACGGGUGAGUAACACGUGGAUAACCUACCUAUAAGACUGGGAUAACUUCGGGAAACCGGAGCUAAUACCGGAUAAUAUAUUGAACCGCAUGGUUCAAUAGUGAAAGACGGUUUUGCUGUCACUUAUAGAUGGAUCCGCGCCGCAUUAGCUAGUUGGUAAGGUAACGGCUUACCAAGGCGACGAUGCGUAGCCGACCUGAGAGGGUGAUCGGCCACACUGGAACUGAGACACGGUCCAGACUCCUACGGGAGGCAGCAGUAGGGAAUCUUCCGCAAUGGGCGAAAACCUGACGGAGCAACGCCGCGUGAGUGAUGAAGGUCUUCGGAUCGUAAAACUCUGUUAUUAGGGAAGAACAAAUGUGUAAGUAACUAUGCACGUCUUGACGGUACCUAAUCAGAAAGCCACGGCUAACUACGUG